ensembl:lncRNA
GCAGGGUGAAAAGUUUUGGAUGUAGCCUUGAUGUGAUGUGAUGUACCUUCACUGCUGUUAUCUCCGCAUCGGAGGAGCUCUGAAUGACGCAGGUGAUGAAGUCGGUGGCUUUUCUGUGCUCGAUUUUUCUGAUAUCACAGUCGAGGUCUUCACCGCCCUGGACGCCCCGUACCUCAAGAUCUACCUCAGCCAUCUGGAGCUCCUCUGCCCUUUUCUGAACAUCAGAACAAAGGCCCCCCGUUGGGGACUUAGGGUAGGUAAAGGUCUGGAUUUCGAGUCAACCUUCUUCAUUUGUUUGAAAAAAUUGUUUACUCGAUUGCAUCAGCCAUACCAGUAGACACUCGUCUGCAUGUGAAUGGCUAAUGUGCACGUGUACACACACAAGCCUUUACAUCACACACACUGUGCACCCGGGCAUGGGUUUCAAACGGUGCAUGUCUUUACUGACCAGUAUUAUGGUGAGCAGCAGGUGGUCCGGGGCAGGGGUGGCGUAGAAGGCGCUGAACUGGGGGUCUGGCAGGUAGCGGAUGGCGGUGGGGCAGGCCAGCGUGUGAUUGGCUACCCUCAGGGUCACAGAGCUGCUGAAGGGGACGCGGUCUGUCGCCAGGCUCUCGAACUUCAGAGACUGUUGAGAGGGCAGAGAUCCAUCGGGCACAAGAAUCAUCCAGCCUGAUUGUGUCCCUGCUCUUCCAUGUAUGAGUACAUGAACUAACUCACCCCACCGUCGUCUGUCUUCCAGAAGGUGACCUUCUGAUUCGUGUGACUGUGGGUGACCUCCUCAACAAACUCCAGGUUGGAUCCUGAGAUAUUCAUCUUCCUCUUCCCACUGCACAAGACACAGCAUGUCGGAC